GAUGAACGCUAGCUACAGGCUUAACACAUGCAAGUCGAGGGGCAGCAUGUCGGUUGCUUGCAACCGAUGAUGGCGACCGGCGCACGGGUGAGUAACGCGUAUCCAACCUACCCUUGUCCAUCGGAUAACCCGUCGAAAGGCGGCCUAACACGAUAUGCGGUUCUCAGCAGGCAUCUAACGAGAACGAAAUGUGAAGGAGAAGGAUGGGGAUGCGUCUGAUUAGCUUGUUGGCGGGGUAACGCCCACCAAGGCUACGAUCAGUAGGGGUUCUGAGAGGAAGGUCCCCCACAUUGGAACUGAGACACGGUCCAAACUCCUACGGGAGGCAGCAGUGAGGAAUAUCGGUCAAUGGACGGGAGUCUGAACCAGCCAAGUAGCGUGCAGGAAGACGGCCCUAUGGGUUGUAAACUGCUUUUAUAGGGGGAUAAAGUGUGACCACGGUGUGGCAUAUUGCAGGUACCCUAAUGAAUAAGGACCGGCUAA
rnacentral:rRNA from 1 species